CACUUUGACCCACCCACCAUGCCGAUUUCGCCCAGGUCUGAGCCCAGCCACUGGAUCUGCGCGUCUGCGACCCACUGCCGCUCCAGUCUCCAGCUGUAGCGCCUCCUAGCCCUCUAUUCGCCGUCCGCCAAUAUCGUCAUCUUUGUGUUCGCCGGAUCUGACAGUUUUAGAUUUGAAUCGAGGAAGCUGUUGGAGGGUUGUCCAGCGGGACAAGAGUUUUGGUAAGAGGUAUAGUCCUUAUUAUUGGUUUGUGCCCUUUGAUGACUGAAUUAAGUUUGAAUUAACCCUUGUAUCUCUAGGGUUCCAAGUUGUCAUCCAUGGGUUCCAAGUUGUCAUCCAUUGGGAGUUAAAAUCUAUUGGAAGGAGAUUUGGAGUGGUUGUUAAGCGAGUUCCUUGGAUAAGCUUUUGGGUAUUGUGGUUUUGGCUCUGAGAUGUUGCAAUUAUUUUUUUUGGACUAAAACUUAGUGGUGUAUUCGUAUGUUAGGGUCGUUUCUUCAAAUCGUGGUCAUUGUUUAGUUGUCUGAGUUUAUCGGUGUAUUUUUUAUUAAGGUAAGUAAUCUUACCACUAGAACUGCCCACGGGCCAGACUUUAGUUGUAUGCUAGCGUGAUGAAUGUAUGUUAUGGUAAAUGUUAGAAUGUUGA